rnacentral:rRNA from 1 species
AUUGAACGCUGGCGGCAUGCCUUACACAUGCAAGUCGAACGGCAGCAUGAUCUAGCUUGCUAGAUUGAUGGCGAGUGGCGAACGGGUGAGUAAUACAUCGGAACGUGCCCUGUAGUGGGGGGUAACUAGUCGAAAGAUUAGCUAAUACCGCAUACGCCCUGAGGGUGAAAGUGGGGGACCGCAAGGCCUCAUGCUAUAGGAGCGGCCGAUGUCUGAUUAGCUAGUUGGUGAGGUAAAGGCUCACCAAGGCGACGAUCAGUAGCUGGUCUGAGAGGACGAUCAGCCACACUGGGACUGAGACACGGCCCAGACUCCUACGGGAGGCAGCAGUGGGGAAUUUUGGACAAUGGGCGAAAGCCUGAUCCAGCAAUGCCGCGUGUGUGAAGAAGGCCUUCGGGUUGUAAAGCACUUUUGUCCGGAAAGAAAUGGCUCUGGUUAAUACCUGGGGUCGAUGACGGUACCGGAAGAAUAAGGACCGGCUAACUACGUG